GCAGCAGAAACAAAAGUGAAAGAGACAGGAGGUAAGAAAGAGAAAGAAAAAGUACUUGGAGCAAGAGUAACAGAAAAAGACAGUCUGAAAUACAGGAGUAACUAUAGCUGACCUAAAGGUGAAGAAGUGGAGUGACACAAAGGGCUGAAGAGGGUUGAGGUGUCUGCUGUGCUGCUGCAGAAGGGGCCAGAACACCUCUAGUCAGUCCUUCUGUCACUGCGUUCGGAACCUGGGAAUUACUUGCGAGAAGACGGUGACUCCAGGUCCCUUUCCAGCUGGAUGCGGAACAUUUUGGGCAUUAGAAUGCAUCCUGUUUUCCCAUCUACAAAUGAGCCAAAAUCAGGAUGUAUCCAUGGAAGUACAUGUGAAAAGGUAAGCAGAUUCAUUCUAAUUGACAUGAGUUUUAGUACAAAUUUCACUGAGAGUAGUGCUAAAUGUGUACAUUUGGCACAACCCCAUUUUGGGGAACUUAAAUAUUGACUGAACUGCUAAUAUAUAGCAUUUCAUUUUACAUUCAAGCCUGCAGAAUAUAGUUUUGAGAAAACAAGGUCUGCUCAUUAUACAUCUGACCUGGACUAAUUAAAAUUCCAGAGUAUAAUUCCAACUUCAGUGGCAACAGUAUUAAAAACUGUUCUUGUAUCACAAGGUGAGUGUGAUAUUUUGACCAGCCAAGAUCAUGAAUAUUUGCAAUGACCCCCAAAGGUGAGGCUUCUUGGCUGUCCUAAUUAGUAGGUCCCAGCAGGCCAAUAAUUCUUCACCACUAAACUACUUUCAAUUAUGUGCAUCUCAUGUUGUUUACUGAAGUUAUGUUUAGCUUCCAAGAAUCUCUUUUGCUUCUGAGUUCUAUAUGUGUUUGCUUGGAGCUGCCAAAAUGUGAAUGGUUUAUCAGAGCGAAUGAUGUCAAACCUGAGGCAGGAAAACAUUAGAUGCUGCCUUUCCUAUUUACAUGAGUAGUACAUAUGCAAAGUUAUUGAAGGGCUUUAAUAACAAUUGAUCAUGUGUAGUGUAUUGUUGUAUUUUGCAUAAACUACACAGGAUGACAGCAGUUGGAUAUAUUGUUCACGUGUUUGUUCUGUCGGCAUGUAUCAGGUGAUGGUGAGCAGAUCCUAAUUUUAAUCUCAGCAGGGGCAUAUAGAAAAUGAGUACUGAACACUCUACAAUAUCCACAAUCCCUCAUUGUCCACAAUUUUCACUUAUGUACAUGUGGGCAUUUGCAGAGCAUAUAUUGGCUCCAUACAAGAAAAGAAGACCAUGUGUAGUUGGAGCUCUGUGUGCCCCAUGAGCAGAAAGCACCACUCCAUUGGCUGGUUCACUUCACUUCUGUUCACACAAACAGGAUGAUUAAAGAAAGGUUAAAGGCUCUAAUUAUUUCAGCCUUCUAAAGAGAGCUUUCUGGCUGAAUGAUUAUGCUAAGCCUUAUUAGUGAUUAUGUGAAAGCUGCAGGUUAAUUAAGUCAGAAUAAAAACACUGAUUAACAUAAGGUUAUGCUAAUGCUUCAGUAAAUAUUCACUGAGCAAAUGGGUAACAUCUACCCUUCUACAAGGCCUCUCUCACCCCUGUGAUGGGAACAAAAGGGUGAUGCAUUUGAAGCAUUAACUCACCUGUUCAAUAAAUUACUUAAUGAAUGCACCAUUUAGUAUGGGAUAUUGGUUUUAUAUUCAUUCCCUUUUUGUAAGCACUAAGAAAGUUACUAAUUUCAGAAGAAUGAAUACAAAGGGAAGGUGCCUUUUUGAGAGGCCUCUUGUAUCUCCCAACAAAAAAUUUAAGAGUUGGAGUGUACAGGUCCAUUACAUCUACACAGGCAAGUAAGCCACAGUCAAGAAACAGACAUCAGAGCCACACAGUAUAAAACUUCUACAUGUAGAGUUAUGCGUUGAUUGUACUAUAUAGUCCUUGUAUUGAAUGAAAAUGUUGUACAGCCAAAUGUCAAUGGACUUGGCACCAACACAAGAAUGCCAAUGUAUGCGUCCAUCUGUAUAAAGGCAAUUGUGCAGGUAUGAGGUGGAUCCUGGUGAGAUCAUUAAACAAGGCACAGUAAGCAACAAAUGGAAAAAGAGAAAGACUUUGCUGUUGCUGUCCCUCAUCUGAUGCCACAUAAGUCUGGAAAAUGCUAAGGGACAGCAGGGAAAGCAGAAUAGAGACUCAUUGGUUGACAACAUAAAGGUGGAUAACAGCAACAGGGCAGCACAGCUCCAUCAUGUCAAAGCCCAGAAUCAGAUAAAAGACUUCCUCCAUCCAAACUGAAACUGCAUCAAUCAAGGAGGGAGAGAAGAAGAAACAGGCACGGCUACAUGAUACCUAAGCCAGAAGCCAAUUAAAGAUCUUCCAUCCAUCCCAACUGCUGCUGCCCUGAUUUCAGGGGGAAAUAAGAGGCUCCCAUGCUGUCGUCUCCUUUUCAUUUUGUGCCAUGCCUUACUUAGAUUGUUAGCCUGAGGACAGGAAACUGAUUUGCUGUCUUUUUACUUGUAAUGAACUAUGUACAUUGAAGGCACUAUAUAAAGAAAUAACAACACUUCUCCUCUAAAGACUUCAGACCAGCAUGCUGGUUCUUUCCUUCCUUGUUUUAUACUCCUAUAACUUUGAGAGGUAUGGCUAAAACAUUAUGAUUUUUUUGAUUAAAUGAGGAUUUGAAUAAACACAGGGCUGCUACACUGACCCAUAAGGCUUUAACCUGUACUUAUUCCCAUGAAUAUAUUGAAACAUAAGGUAAAUCUUUGAGAGAAAUUUUGCUAAGGAGAAUUUUGAAGAGAAUAUUCAUUUUGUCUCUAAAAGUGAACACGAUGGUUGCUAAAGGAGCAAAGAGAAGUCAGGGUAUUUCUUGGUGGUCUCCCAUCCAAGUACUAACUAGGGCCAACCCUGCUAAGUGUCCAAGAUCAGACAAGAUCUGGUGCCAUUAUGCUCAGUAUGAUCAAGAUACUAAUCUAUAUUUUAGAGUUCUGACAAAACUCUAGCAUGGUUUGGAUGAAGUUACUGGCUUGACUGUUGUCCAGAGGCUCAGUUCAGAUGCUGCUCCAAGCCAAUAUUUAAGGAAAUAUAAUUACAUUUUCAUGAGGCAUCACUCCGAACAGGCAACUUUGCAGUGAGGCCUCAAUAGGGAAUUGGAAACCUGCAACGGAAACGUGUUUGUCAACUGUAAUUUGGACUAUCACUUACACAAGAAUGCAAAAUAGAAGAGCAGUAGUCUAAUGCUAACCUCCACUGGGUUGUGCAGGUGAUCCCCCCUCAAACACGAUAUCUUUCUCCACAAUGUUCAUGGCCUUGGGUACUUUCUUCCAACCUGGUCUACUUCCACUACUAAAACCUGGCUGUGUACACAAGGAACCCAAAUGACAUCCAAAAUAGACAUAAGGCAGAGAAAAAGAUAGGAUCACCUAGUGAUUAGGAAAAAGGAUACCCAGUCAGAAUUAUAGCAGGGAAAGGAAAGCAGGGGACUAGAAAGAAGAGGAAUGAGUAUGUUUGGGGAUUGGCUGCUGGAGGAAGGAAGAUGCUUUUCUGAAGUCAUUUACCAUUUACUGGGAAACAUCAAAUAAUUUGUCAUAUGAAAGAGCAGUUUCUUUAACCAAAAGGGACAUCUGGAGAUUAGUCUUUUGAAGAAAAAUUUCGUAAGCGGCGGGUGUCAAAAUGGAGGGCAGACCACCUAGGCAUAUCCAUAUUCAUCUCUCUGUUCAGUUCAGUUCAGCAAUUUAUUACGGUCUAUGACCAGAAUAUAUAGAAAUGGGCACAGGUGCCCGAAAAGGGGAAUCGCAGUUCCCAUAAAAAUCAGAUAAAAGAACAAGUUAAAAACAUGCUAUAAUAAAAACAAAUUAAAAGCAGACUAUUAGCAGGGUCAGCUAAUAGUAAAUAUCGACCCACUAAGUGGCUCUGGAGGGGGAUAGAGGGAGCAUUUGCAGUCUUUCAGUUAUAACAGAUUGCUCUGGCUACAGGCUCUGUGGGGUCAGUCAUCGUCCGUUUGAUGGAAAUUGCUGCCGCACAGAACCUGGCGACACUAUAGGUUAUUGCAGAACAGGAGUCUGAGAGCAGCAGAGAGGUGUAGUAUCUUUCAGUGCAGCCUGGAUGUUUUAAAAGCCAAGGAGUGUCAGGACCCUGGCUGCAGAGCACCAAUAACCUUACACAGAGGCCAGUCUCUAUCUAAUAUCUUUAUUAAAGAAAUAUAUAAAAUCAAUAAAAACAAGUGAAGAAUAGAGUUCAGAAGCAGACCUUUCAAAGGAGGUUAAAUAUAGUCCAAAAAUGUAUUGUCCAAUAUAAGAUAUUAGAGUUCAAAGUUUUAAUCCACUUGACCGAAACACACACUUUGCCAAGCAAUAGUGUGGGGAAUUAGCAGAGUCCUAGAGUUCAAUGAAGCUUGACAACAAGGCUGGAAUUAAA